GUGAACGAGCGACGCCGCGUGGAGGAUGAAGGCCUUCGGGUUGUAAACUCCUGUCGAGGGGGAACAAGGUGCCGUGCAGAACGGUGCUUGAGUGAUCCCUGGAGGAAGCACGGGCUAAGUUCGUGCCAGCAGCCGCGGUAAGACGAACCGUGCGAACGUUAUUCGGAAUCACUGGGCUUAAAGCGCGUGUAGGCGGAUUGGAACGUCGGUUGUUGAAAGCCCCCGGCUCAACCGGGGAAUCGGCACCGAAACGACCAGUCUGGAGGGAGGUAGGGGGAGCCGGAACUUCCGGUGGAGCGGUGAAAUGCGUUGAGAUCGGAAGGAACGCCCGUGGCGAAAGCGGGCUCCUGGACCUCACCUGACGCUGAGACGCGAAAGCCAGGGUAGCGAACGGGAUUAGAUACCCCGGUAGUCCUGGCCGUAAACGAU
rnacentral:rRNA from 1 species